UAUCGACGGCCCUGUUUGGCACCUCGAUGUCGGCUCAUCGCAUCCUGGGGCUGAAGCCGGUCCCAAGGGUUGGGCUGUUCGCCCAUUAAAGCGGUACGUGAGCUGGGUUUAGAACGUCGCGAGACAGUUCGGUCCCUAUCCGCGGUAGGCGGAGGAAAUCUGAGAGGGCCUGUUCCUAGUACGAAAGGACCGGAAUGGACAAACCUCUAGUGUCCCAGUUGUCCCGUCAGGGGCAUCGCUGGGUAGCUACGUUUGGUUGAGAUAACCGCUGAAAGCAUAUAAGCGAGAAGCUCGCCUCAAGAUUAGAUUUCCCACUCCGAAAGGAGCUAAAGGUCCCUCGAAGACGACGAGGUUGAUAGGCUGGAAGUGUAAGUCCGGUAACGGAUUGAGCUAACCAGUACUAAUAGACCGUGAGGCUUGACCAUA
rnacentral:rRNA from 1 species